rnacentral:lncRNA from 1 species
GGCAUAAACGUGCCAUCCCCUCCUCAAAAUUGCCUCCCCCUUCCCAAAUUUGUAUGUUGAAACCCUAACCCAAAGAUAUCUCCCAAAGGUAAUUAAGAAAUAAUUAGGUUUUAAGUGACUUAAGUCAUGAGAAUGGAUCCCUCUGAUGGGAUUAGUGUCCUUAAAAGAAGAGGAAAGGACUAGAAGGUUUCUCCCUCUUUCAAGCUCUGUCUCUGCCACAUGAGGACACAGCAAGAAGAAAGCCAUCUGCAAGCCAGGAAGGGGGCCCUCACCAGAACCUGAUUAUGUUGGCGACAUGAUCUCAGACUUCCCAACUUCCGAACUGUGAGAAAUAAAUGUCUGUUGUUGACGCCACCUGGUCUGUGUUGUGUUGUAAGAGCAGCCUGAACUGACUAACGCUUGGGGGAAAUAAAAGUAAUUAGAGUUAGUAAUUCGGGAUACCAUCCAGUUCUUCUCAGCUGGAAUUCUGAGGUAUUGAGAUGACACCAGUUUCAGAAGUUGUUGUUUUGGUAUAAUCUUCCUGUGUUUCUACCCACAGCACUAUUUUGUGAAAUACUUUUUUAUUUAUUUACUUUUUUUUCAGACUGAUUCUAACUCAAACUGCCUCUUAGGCAAGACAGUACUUCUUUUCUUCAACCUCAAUUUUUUUUUUUUAUGUGGAACUCUGCAAGAAUAUUGGGCCAUAUAGUUUUGGGGCCAUAUAAAAUGCUUUAUCAUUUUCAAACCAAGAGGAGAAAUUUGCUUCUAUAUUGAUGAACUAUUCUUUCAUGUUUCAUUAUCUCACACCUAAGGAAAUUUCUUAUGAAUUUUCAGGAAAUUUUGUGAGAAAAUAUUGAUUGUGUGACAAACACCGUUGGGCGAAAUCAUUGCUAUCUUGGUUUUUCUUUUUGAUCCUUGGUGUGGUAUGACUGGUCGCCAAGACUACUACUACUACUUUCAUUCGGAUAAUAAUGUAAAAUUAACAGAGGGGUUUCACAUGACUUAUUGCUUGAACUCCUCUCAACAAACCAUGCAACUGACAUCUCUCUUUCACCAGAGAGGAAAUGAGAUUGAGCUGUGCCCAUAUCACAUGGCUGGUAAGCAGCCCAGUUUGGCUACAACCCCAGAGCAAUGACUGCCUGUGAAGAAAUCCAUCUGCCAUUUUGGUUGGGAAUAGAAGUGUCAAGCAAUGCCAUGGGCACUCCCGUAUGGAAAGAUGUGAGAUGCCUUCUAUUGCAGGCAUUAUUGCCAUAAACAAACACCUGUUUUGUGUCUCCUGAGCAUCUGAGAAGAUGGUAUACUUCUACCUCAAAGUUUGCUCUGCUGAUCUCUGUUCCUCUAUCCAGAGCAUGUACAGGAAGGAGAGAACCACCUGAACACUCCUUCCACUUGGACUAGAUGUUUUUCUGAAGGUGAAUGCCUCAGUUUGUUUCCCAAUGUGGUGAUUGGUAUUAUACCAAGAUGCAAUGAAUUUAAUGUAAAGCAAAUGGUUUCAACCACUGAGAAUUUGGGCUUGCUUGUUAUUGAAGCUUAAAUUAGCCUGUCUUGACUGGUAUGACUUCUUGAUUCAAAUUUAAUUCUUUUAUAAAAGAAUAUUACUUCUGUAGGGUGGAUCUUAAACUGAUCAUAUAGAUACAUACCUUUGAAAGAGAAAAUAUCCUCCUAAACCCUCAUGAUUUUAUUUAAAUCAAUUUGACAAUUUUACUUAAAUAUGCACAAGCAUAAAAGUAAGAACGAAUUCUUCACACAUGUACUUAUUGAGCAACUGCGAAACCAGAUUCCAAAUUAAAUGAAAAGAAAAAUACCACAUAACCAAAGGAUUAUAAAUAAACAGUAACAAAAUAUACUGGAAUCCACAUGGCUUCGUGGAAACUACAUUGCUAUCCAAGUGUCAAGCAGGUUCUUUGGAGUAGAGCAUGCUUCUUUAAUCUGCCCUCAGCAAUGGCUCACUUUUUUUUUUUCCAACUACCACAAAACAUUCCUUAAUUCAUAUUGUGUAAGAAAAGUUUAAAGGAAUCAUUUUAGUACCAAAGCUACUUCUGUUCCUUUCUUACCAGCCUGACCUUUCUCACUGUUGAUGCCAAUAAACACAUUCUAAAACUUGAGCUCAGAAAUUUUGUGUCGGUUUUCAGAUUUAAGGAUACCUGUGCUUAGCUUUGUAAGUAUAUCAUUGAAAUAAAAACCCUAAGCUUUGAAAUUUUUAUUCAAACCUAGGGACAUUCCACUCUUAAAACGCAUUUCAGAGGCCCAUGAAGUGUGUACUUGCAAAACUGGUUAAAAGGACAAAUGUUUUCCAUAUUUCACCAAAAUUUUUUUUUUUUUCAGGAAGAAUAGCACAGGUAUCCUGAGCAUGAAUCUCCCUGUUAUUUUGAUUGUGGGUGAAUUUGAGGUGAGUUGCUUAACCUCUCUGAAUCUCCAGUAUCCAUCUGCAAAGCAUACCAUUCUUAUGUUAAAGCACAAAGAGUGAAAUGAAGAGUCUAGUACAGGACCAUUUUUGUUAUGCAUUUUCCUCUCUGGAGAUAGCCCACUGAUUUCCCAACUUCCCUUGAUGAAAAGACAUUUCCAGAUGUAGUCUAUAAGUCCUCCCACAAGGCCUUCUCACUCUGUGGACUUAAUCAGAGGAUCUGGCACAGGAUUCCAGAGCUCCAGGGCACAACUUUAUACACUGUUCUUUAUAAAGGUCCGGAUAGUAAAUAUCCCAGGUUUCUUGGUCUAUACGUAUCGUGUUUCUGAUAUAAAACCCAAGCACCUAUAUGACCUUCUGUAAGUAUGAGGCUUCCCCCUUCUUCCCUACCUUUAAAGACAGGGAUUGUGGAUAAUUUGUUUAUUGAGCCUUUCUAAUUCAUGUUGGUGAAAUGAAUAAAAACACCAUCAGAUAAAUAACCCUGGGGAGGAUUAAUGUCUGCAACAGGUACAGCACUUUAGGUUGUCACUGUCCCCUUCCCUUCAUGCCCCUGUUCAUUCCCAGACACACAUUUAAGACACUGUUUUUUUGAAUGAGGUGACUAGAGCUUGGCUGGCUGGUCAAGGUGCUAUGACGGGUUACCCCCUGUGACAGCGACUCCCGGAGCCCCUUGUAAAGCCAGCUCUGGGGUCUUUUCUCUGACUGUGCCACGGUAACAUGCACUGUCUCCUACCAGCUCGACAUCACCACCAUUGUGGGUUUGUAUUUUCAACCCUAAUUUAUAGUUCAGGAGCCUGAGACCCAAAGGAGUUAAAGAGUUUUCCAAAGUCAUCUACUAGAAUCCAGGUUUCCUGAUUCCUCCCAUCAUGCUACCCAGCGUUGGAUUCUGAGGCCUCCAAGAUCUUAUUCACCUUCCAUAUUUGAAAUGUGUUUGUUGGGGGAACAAUUGACCUCAGAAUGAGUAAUUUGCUACCACUCUGAGUAAGUUUCACACUUUCCCAUUACAGAGUGAAAAUGAGAAAAAUAUGUCCUAGAUACCACAGAUAAAAAUGCUUCAUUGUCUUAAUUGCCUUUCUAUUUCAAUCAAGGAAGGCAUUUAAUUAUUUCUGAACUACAUUCUAAAUUCUCUCUCAAGAAUAUCACUGUCCCCAGGUGAGUUAACCAAGACUGUGCAAAACAUUUUCUCAAACCUGAAUGAUGAUCCCCAAUAUUUGCUGAGUACUUCUUACACGCCAGCAACUAUUUUAAAUCCUUUCCAUUGAUGACUUCAUUUCCUCCUCUCAGCAAGUCUGUGAAGAGGAUGCAAUCAUUAUUCCCCUUUACAGAUGAGGAGAGCAAGGCACAGAGGUGAGAUCUUGGCCUGAGAUCACAGGCAGGAGGUGGUGAAGUCAAGCAUCCGAUCCCAGGAUCGCCUCUGAGGUCACACUUCUGAUUUCACUCACCAUGCAGUCUUUGGACACAGACCUGGUGUCCCCUUUGAGAUAUAAGGGUUACUUGAACACAGUUCUGAAUAUGUACACAAAAGUCAUUUGUAGGACCCAUCCAAAAGGACCAGUUGCGGCUACUGAAGGGUCACCCAGAAUCUCCAGCCUCUGGAAAUACGGGUGGGUCAUCUCAAGGCUGCAGGGGCAGCAGGGGCAGUUUGUCUUCUUCUUAAACAACCUCAGGAAAGAAGUUCUUGCUGCUGAGCACCACUGUCCUGGACCUCAAAAGAUCCACAUGACACUCAUUCUACUCCACUGGAUCUAAUCAUGGCUGUGAAACCACAGACAGAAGAGAUAACAUUCUCAUGAUCUGUAUUUACAGCCAUUAUUCUUGCCUCACUUGAGCUAUCUAGAGAACGAAGGACAGUCAACUCAGUAUUUCUAGAAUAGGACCCCCCCCCUUGUCUGUGGAAGGUAUGUCCCAAGAUGCCCCCUGAAUGCCUGAAACCACAGAUAGUACUGAACUUCAUAUUUCCUAUGUUAUAUUAAAAUCAAAUUUAUUAAUUGGGCACAAUAAACAAUAAUAAUUCAUAUUAAAUUAGAACAAUUAUAACAUUAUACAGUAACGAAAUUGCCAGCAUCACUACUUUUGCACUUUGGGGUCACUAUUAAGUAAAAUAAGGGUUACUUGAACCCAGGUACUGUGAUACUACAACCAUCAAUUGGAUAAUCAAGGUGGCUACUGAGUGGAUGGACAGCAUAUAUGAUAUGGAUACCCUGGACAAAGGGAUGAUUCACGUCCAGCGCAGGAAAUGACAGGAUGGUGUGAUAGUUCAUCAUGCUACCCAGAAGUAUAUGAUUUAAUAACUGUGAGUUGUUUAUUUCUGGAAUUUUCCAUAUAACAUUUCAGAUUGGUUGACCACAGGUAACUGAAACCAUGAAAAGUGAAAUUACAGAUAAGGAGUUAAUAAGAUAAAAUUGAAUGAUAUGAACACAUAGGCUGUGUAAGUAAAAAAAUGUUUUCUUGUAUGAUGUACUGGAGCCUUCAAAAAACACAUAUUACCUGUCGUACAGAAUAAAGGCUAGAUUUUGAAAUGUGAAGCCCACAUCAGUAGGGAGUUGACACUUCAAAUCAUUCACACAGAUAUUAAACUUUAUAAUGGGUUAAUUAUGGAGUACCUUAUAUAUUCAGAUAUAAAUAUUUGGGUAAUUUGGGUUUAAAAAGUUUUGAUCUUCAUGGUACUCUUUGUUUUAACAGCAUAAUCAUUCCUAAAUAAUUUCAUGGAAAUAUUCUGCUUCGUUAAUUUUGCAAAAGGACAUGUAUGAAAAACACUGAUAUUUUUUGAAUAAAAAAUAAAAUUUAAAAAUAUAUUUAGCCUCCAUUCCUAAUAAGCCUGAGCAACUGUUGUUUCUUUCUGAAGAAUCAAGAUCAGUCACAAGACUGAUCCCUUGUUUAAAUUCAUCUAUCAUUCAAUAAACAUGUUAAUAUUGGAGAAACUGCAUGAACUCAGCUUCUUUCCUUCCUUCCUUCCUUCCUUCCUUCCUUCCUUCCUUCCUUCUUUCUUUCUUUCUUUCUUUCUUUCUUUUUUGGUGCUGGGUGCUAGAAGCUACUUUAUGGCUAAGCAUAUGUUUAGCCCGCGACCUGUGCAGGCUUCAUGAAAGAAGGUUCCAGUCGUG